UACAGAGGUGGCAAGCGUUGUUCGGAGUUACUGGGCGUAAAGAGUGCGUAGGCGGUUUUCUAAGUUUGGUGUGAAAUCUCCCGGCUUAACUGGGAGGGUGCGCCGAAGACUGGAAGGCUUGAGUAUGGGAGAGGUAAGCGGAAUUCCUGGUGUAGCGGUGAAAUGCGUAGAUAUCAGGAGGAACACCUGCGGUGUAGACGGCUUACUGGACCAUCACUGACGCUGAGGCACGAAAGCGUGGGUAGCAAACAGG
rnacentral:rRNA from 1 species